ensembl:rRNA 5S_rRNA 5S ribosomal RNA
AUUUACAGCCAUAUCACUCUACAGCAAAAGACUGGUUAUUUACUGAAGCUAUGCAGGGCUGAGCCUGGUCAGUACCUGGAUGGGAGACCACAUGUGAAAACUAGGUUGCUGUUGGAA